rnacentral:tRNA from 1 species
GAGGAUAUAGCUUAGUGGAAGAGUACAUGCUUAGCACGCAUAGGUCCUGGGCUCAAUCCCCAGUACCUCCU